rnacentral:rRNA from 1 species
ACGUAGGGUGCGAGCGUUAAUCGGAAUUACUGGGCGUAAAGCGUGCGCAGGCGGUUCGUUGUGUCGGUGGUGAAAGCCCUGGGCUCAACCUGGGAACGGCAUUGGAUACUGGCUUACUAGAGUGCGGUAGAGGGUAGUGGAAUUCCCGGUGUAGCAGUGAAAUGCGUAGAUAUCGGGAGGAACAUCUGUGGCGAAGGCGACUACCUGGACCAGCACUGACACUGAGGCACGAAAGCGUGGGGAGCAAACAGGA